GCCGCUUGGCCACCCUUGCUGCUGUUUUACUCUGCUUCGUUCCUACUUUCCCUCAAAGCUGGAUGGCAACACCUUUCCCCAACCCCGUGGGGACUGACACUGGUUGACCGUAUUUUAAUUUGGCUCCAACAUUAUACAAAAUGAUACAUACUCUCUCAUGUAACUUCUGCUGCGUCUUCUGAAUGAGAACCAUUACCGUACUUAGUAAAGAUAAGAGAUCUUAAUUAUGUCUGGCUUCUAUGAAAAUGCACUGAAUUCCUUUAUUCAAGGUAGUGAUGGAGAAGUGAAAGCAGUCACACUCUAAAAAUGUAAAGUAGUAGCCAAGCAACCCUUCCUGAGGCGGGAGAUGGAGUUAAUAUUUUAAAACUUGCAAACAAGCCAAAAGAAAAUGAGAUGCCCACAGGGUCGCAAGAAGUAUAAUGAGGUUUGCUGGAAGACGUGAAAAAGGAGAAAGAAUGUUUUUACCGAGAGCGCUUGUAGAAAAUUAUACAUUUAAGUGUUUAACGUAACUACUUAGCAAGGGCACUGGCAGAGUGUGCAGGAGCUAAGCUUUGCUGCGAUCUUGGAAUGGCAUGCAGGUUAAAUAUGCUUCUCCUGAAUUCAAUGGCAUUUCCUCUGAAGAGAUGAAUGCAGAUCAGUGACUAGCAGUGUGAGAAAAUUAAAAGAAGUGUCAUUCUCCUUGCAAAUUGUGCUCCUAAUGGAAAAAAUGGACAUGGACUCUCUGGUGUGAUUAAAUGAGCCCCUACCUUAAAUAGCUUUCCUUUUGGUCCAUCUGAAAUGUAUUGCAUCCCUCGCUUCAGAGAAAUCUUAAUCUGUCCUACAUAGAAGACUGCGGCUUUAGACAAGCUGGUCCCAGCGUUUCUUACUUCCAUGCUGGAGAAAGACCUUAAAAUGAGCUAUUUUUCUGUUCAUUCAGUCACCCGGUAGCAAACAGUGAUUAAAGUCCUCUAUACCAGGCCCUCUGUGCACUCAGGAUUCAGUUGUGAGAGAAGCUAGAGAGGGUCACUAUUCAGGAAUUUAUCUGAUGGGGAGACAGAGGAGUAAGCAAGUAAUAUAAUCCGAAUAAGUAAGUAGAUAUAAGUGCUUCCGGGGAAGGAUGGGAUGCUUCCGGAGCAUGUGUGUAUUAGCUCUUUCCCAAUAUCACAAAUGCCUAAGGGAAACUGCUUAGGAAGGAAGGUCUACUUUGGCUCAUGGUUUUGGAGUUUCCAGCAGUCUGAGACCAAGCAGCCUCAUGGUACGGUGGGUGAGGAGGACAGUGGACGGCAGGAGGCAGGGGGAAGAAGGAUCGCGUAGCCAGCCAGGGAGGUAGAGGAAGCUGGGGGCCCAGUUACCAUGUCUGUGGGGAUCUCUCCUUGUAAAGUCAUCAUCACUGGAUCUUGGACUCCACCCCAGCAACCCAAUCCAAUCCACUACUUCCCAAAGGCACGGCCUGCAGAUACCAUAAUUGUUCUUUCCACCCUUUAUCCUUUACCCGUGAACAUUAAUCCCUUAGCAUAAGACUUCGGGGACACCCAGAUGGAGAUGGUGAUGUAAUAAGGGAAUGUAACUUGAUCUGAGGUUAGGAAAUGUUUCCUGAGGAAGUGACAGUUGGGCUGCGCAUUGAAGGAUGUGAAUGCUGACUAACAAGGGGGAGGCAAAGAACAGGUUCUAAGCGGGAAAUAAAGUUGGCAGUGAGUGGGUAAGAAGCUAAAAGCGAACUCUGGAGAGCUAAGAAGGAACCAGACCUCUUUAAGGAGCUUCAUCUUUUACAAAGGGCGGUGUUGAAGAUGUAACUUUGCAUUGCGAUCGUAAGCCAUUGACAUGCUUGAAAACUUUGUUUAUUGGAAGGACAGAGAGAGGGGGAGUCCUCCCAUCUGCUGGUCCACUCCCCAAGUGUCCAGAAGCCAGGAACUCAGCCCAGGUCUCCCACAUGAGUGGUAGGAGUCCGAACACCUGAGUCGUCCCCGGCUGCCGCCCAAGGUGCACCUUAGCAGGAAGCUGGAACUGGAAGUGGAGCCCGAAUGGGAUGCAGGCAUCUUAGCCGCUGUACCAAACUACCACCCCAGGUGGUUGAAUUUCUACCGCUGAGACCGUGGAGGAGGGGCUGCUGCUUUAUGCUGACCACACCACUUGCAACACAUGACAAAGAAACCAAUGAUAACAACUUUAUCAUUAUGGGGGGCUGGAGACCAUUUUGAAAGAAAAGGUUGAACAUGGGCAGGAUUGUUGAAAAACGUGGCUGGUGUGGAGAAGAGUGGAACACCUCAGGAGGAUGGGAGAAGGGCAUGGGGACUGAGGAGUCCACCUCAAGAACCAACGCUACAGGAUCUCCCACAUUCACACAACAUGAGUUUCCCUGGAUGGAGACUUACACUGAUAACCCAAUUAGUGUUUUCAACAAAAAGUCGACUCUUUUAAGGCUUCAAAAACAAUUUGAAAAAUCCAAAAGAGUUUUGUACAGGAAAACGAGUUUACUUGGUUUGAUGAUGACUUUUUUUUUUUUUUUAUUUGACAGGCAGAGUUAGACAGUGAGAGAGAGAGACAGAGAGAAAGGUCUUCCUUCCAUUGGUUCACCCAUCAAAUGACUGCCACAGCUGGUGCUGCGCUGAUCUGAAGCCAGGAGCCAGGUGCUUCCUCCUGGUCUCCCAUGCGUGUGCAGGGCCCAAAGACUUGGGCCAUCCUCCACUGCCUUCCUGGGCCACAGCGGAGAGCUGGACUGGAAGAGGGGCAACCGGGACAGAAUCUGGCGCCUGGACCAGGACUAGAACCCAGUGUACUGGCGCUGCAGUUGGAGGAUUAGCCUAGUGAGCCACGGCGCCGGCCAUGAUGCCUUUUUUUUUUUUAACCCAGAAGUCUACUAUAGAAUUAUUUAAAAAUCUGGAAUAUAAAAUUAUAUGUUGUUAGAGAAAUUCGAAAAUGAAGACUUUUUCUCUGAGACACAUCCUCAAUUGUACUGAAAGUCAAAUAUGAAAAGAUAGCGUGUCUUCUGACAUUUACUGAAAGUCUGACAUGGAAAAAUCUAGAAAUAGAGUUUUCAUUUCACAAUGAAAUGAAUAUCUCUAUUUUCCUUUAAUAUGUUCAGACAAAACGAUGCCAUUUGUUUGAUUUUAUAUUACUUAGAAAACACUUUCACAUAAAUUACCUUGAUGGAACUUGACAAUAACAUCCUGGAAUGGACAGGAAAGUUAUCAGGAACAACUUGGGGAUGGGGAGACUCAGGGUUGGAAAUUAAUUUCUCAAAGGGGAAAAGAAAAGAUUACUAUGGGAUCACCUUAACACUAUUUAGAAAUGAGAAAGUCUGAGAAAGUAAGGAAAGAAAAUAUUUCCUGGAAAUAUUAUAUAGAAACAACAAGACUAACCUUAUGGGUAAUGAAUUAAAAUAACAAUAUGUGAGCAUAAGUAUUGCACUAAGUGAUUUGUAGGAAGCCUCAUCUCAUUGGAAAUGGUAACUGAUGCUAUAAGGCCUAAUGAGGAUGGUGUGUGACACAGGGUAACGCAAAGCUAUAAUGAACCUCAUUCUCUGAUGUGAAGGUGGCGUGUCUAAGCCUGUUAUAAAAAAUAAAAGCAACCUAGAUUCUAUGUAGUCAGGAAAUCAGUGAAUUAAACUACUAUUUAAACUACACACACACACACUCCUAUUUUACGUAUGUAAAUAUAUUUUAUAUAAGUCUAUAAAACAUUUAAAUAUAUAUUUACUUGUCUAAAAGAUUUGGAAUCUAUUUCUUAGAGCACUGAUACUCUGCAUGAGAAAAUCAAAUAUUAUGGUUAUAAAAUAAACUUCUUAAUGUAGAACAUUUCAUAAAUCAGCGGAAGACUAUCCACUGAAAACAAAGACUUAAUUUCCUUUUAUAAAUAGCUGUGGAUUAGAGUACAACAAUGGUUCUAACUCUGCUGUUGCUGUGCAUUUAAAG